rnacentral:misc_RNA from 1 species
AAAAUGCGAUACGCAAUGCGAAUUGCAGAAUUCCGCGAAUCAUCAGAUCCUUGAACGCAACUGGCGCUGGAGGGCUAUCCUUCCAGCAUGCCUGUUUCAGUGUCUGAAAACUUCCACAAAAAUAUCAUAAUGUGUUUGAUGAAGGGGAGAAUUUCGGUUCUCAUCUGAAUCUUACAUUAAAGAUGUAUUGCGUGGGCCGUUCGGGUCCCAUCGAAUUGGUCACUGACACCUCAGUGAUUUCGAUUGUGGAUAAUUACAAACCGGAUCGACCAACUAUGCGCAAUAGAAAUCACACAACAACUUCAACAUCUGCAUCUGAAAUCAGGCAAGAACACCCGCUGAACUUAA